rnacentral:rRNA from 1 species
CCUCAGUAACGGCGAGUGAAGCGGCAAUAGCUCAAAUUUGAAAUCUGGCUCUUUCAGGGUCCGAGUUGUAAUUUGCAGAGGGCGCUUUGGAGUCGGCAGCAGCCUAAGUUCCUUGGAACAGGUCAUCAUAGAGGGUGAGAAUCCCGUAUGUGGCUGCUUGCCUUCGCCGUGUAAAGCCCCUUCGAUGAGUCGAGUUGUUUGGGAAUGCAGCUCUAAAUGGGAGGUAAAUUUCUUCUAAAGCUAAAUAUUGGCCAGAGACCGAUAGCGCACAAGUAGAGUGAUCGAAAGAUGAAAAGCACUUUGGAAAGAGAGUCAAAAAGCACGUGAAAUUGUUGAAAGGGAAGCGCUUGCAGCCAGACGUGCCCGUAGUUGCUCAUCUGGGGUUCUCCCCAGUGCACUCUUCUAUGGGCAGGCCAGCAUCAGUCCGGGCGGUUGGAGAAAGACCUGUGUCACGUAGCUCUCUUCGGGGAGUGUUAUAGGGCAGGUGGAAUGCAACCAGCCUGGACUGAGGUCCGCGCAUCUGCUAGGAUGCUGGCGUAAUGGCUGUAAGCGGCCCG